CGGACGGGUGAGUAAUGUCUGGGAAACUGCCUGAUGGAGGGGGGAGUAACUACUGGAAACGGUAGCUAAUACCGCAUAACGUCGCAAGACCAAAGAGGGGGACCUUCGGGCCUCUUGCCAUCGGAUGUGCCCAGAUGGGAUUAGCUAGUAGGUGGGGUAACGGCUCACCUAGGCGACGAUCCCUAGCUGGUCUGAGAGGAUGACCAGCCACACUGGAACUGAGACACGGCCCAGACUCCUACGGGAGGCAGCAUG
rnacentral:rRNA from 1 species